GACAGAGGGUGCAAGCGUUGUUCGGAAUUAUUGGGCGUAAAGGGCGCGUAGGCGGCCACCGCAAGUCGACUGUGAAAUCUCCGGGCUUAACCCGGAAAGGUCAGCCGAUACUGCGGGCUAGAGUGCAGAAGGGGCAACUGGAAUUCUCGGUGUAGCGGUGAAAUGCGUAGAUAUCGAGAGGAACACCUGCGGCGAAGGCGGGUUGCUGGGCUGACACUGACGCUGAUGCGCGAAAGCUAGGGGAGCGAACGGG
rnacentral:rRNA from 1 species